AGUACGAGAUGCUACAGCAUCGAAGCAGUCUAUGUCAUACUUCCAAGAAAAGCUUGCAAUGUCAUAAACAAAUAAUGCCUGUACCAUAACCGACACAGGUGGGUAGGUAGAGUAUACUAAGGGGCGCGAGAUAACUCUCUCUAAGGAACUCGGCAAAAUGACUCCGUAACUUCGGGAGAAGGAGUGCCUUAUUUUUAUAAGGUUGCAAUAACAAGAUCCAAGCAACUGUUUACCAAAAACACAGGUCUCCGCUAAGUCGUAAGACGAUGUAUGGGGGCUGACGCCUGCCCAGUGCCAGAAGGUUAAAGAAGUUGGUUAGCAUUAGCGAAGCUGAUAACUGAAGCCCUGGUGAACGGCGGCCGUAACAAUAACGGUCCUAAGGUAGCGAAAUUCCUUGUCGGGUAAGUUCCGACCCGCACGAAAGGCGUAAUGAUUUGGAUACUGUCUCGGAGAGGGGCUCGGUGAAAUAGACUUGUCUGUGAAGAUGCGGACUACCUGCACCUGGACAGAAAGACCCUAUGAAGCUUUACUGUAACUUGAGAUUGAAAUUGGACUUUAUCUGCGCAGUAUAGGUGGGAGACGUUGAAAAUAUUCUUGCGGGAAUAUUGGAGUCAUCAGUGAGAUACCACUCUUAUAAUGUUAGAUUUCUAACUUUGUAUCAUUAUCUGGUCAAAGAACAGUUUCAGGCGGGCAGUUUGACUGGGGCGGUCGCCUCCCAAACGGUAACGGAGGCGCACAAAGGUUUCCUCUGAACGUGUAGAAAUCGUAUCUAGAGUGUAAAGGCAUAAGGAAGCUUGACUGUGAGACCUACAAGUCGAGCAGGGACGAAAGUCGGUCUUAGUGAUCUGACGGUGCUGAGUGGAAAGGCCGUCACUCAACGGAUAAAAGUUACUCUAAGGAUAACAGGCUGAUCUCCCCCAAGAGUUCACAUCGACGGGGAGGUUUGGCACCUCGGUGUCGGCUCAUCGCAUCCUGGGGCGGUAGUACGUCCCAAGGGUUGGGCUGUUCGCCCAUGAAAGCGGUACGCGAGCUGGGUUCAGAACGUCGUGAGACAGUUCGGUCCAUAUCCGGUGUAGGCGUUAGAAUAUUGAGAGGAGCCUUCUUUAGUACGAGAGGACCGAGAAGGACAUACCUCUGGUGUACCAGUUAUCGUGCCAACGGUAAACGCUGGGUAGCCAUGUAUGGAGAGGAUAACCGCUGAAAGCAUCUAAGUGGGAAGCCCACCUCAAGAUAAG
rnacentral:rRNA from 1 species